AUUCUCACUUUGACAGCACGCAUAAUAAAAUUAAAAUGAUACAGAGAAAAGUAACAUGGUCUCUGGAAAAGGAAGACAUGCACAUUCUUGAAAUGUUCAUUUUUUUC